CCAGGAUUCCAGGAUGAGUUAGAGCCAGCACAGUCGCAGAGAGGGAAAAGAGAAAGAAAGGGCGCACACCCCACCACCCGACCAUGUCGCAAGUCAGAAGGAAGAGUGCCACGUUUACGGUGAAAUCAAAGCAACCCCAGGUGUGCGUCAUCACACCGCACCUGGAAAUUAUGACAGUUAUGAUGAAUGAGGAUGAUACAGCAAAGCCAGCACCGACAAGAAGACCCUCCCGGGGUGACAACACCUGGAUCUAGAUCUCUUCU
rnacentral:lncRNA from 14 species